rnacentral:rRNA from 1 species
UACGUAGGGCGCAAGCGUUAUCCGGAAUUAUUGGGCGUAAAGAGCUCGUAGGCGGUUUGUCGCGUCUGCCGUGAAAGUCCGGGGCUCAACUCCGGAUCUGCGGUGGGUACGGGCAGACUAGAGUGAUGUAGGGGAGACUGGAAUUCCUGGUGUAGCGGUGAAAUGCGCAGAUAUCAGGAGGAACACCGAUGGCGAAGGCAGGUCUCUGGGCAUUAACUGACGCUGAGACACGAAAGCGUGGGUAGCAAACAGG